rnacentral:lncRNA from 10 species
ACAGAUCGCAAGCUAAAUCAUCCAUCUUAGGAGGUACAGACUACAGGGGGCCGUGGCUUCCUCUUAACCGCGGCAGCUGCUGAUAAAUACUGUACUAUUAACAGUGAGGCCCGGCGUAAUUUCCUUAUUAGAGGGCUUCUUUACGUCUCUUCAUCCCAAACUGGGAAAAGCUCCUUGCCUGCCAGUCGGGCUUCAUCCAGCUCCCGCUCAGUAGAGGCCAGCUCUCUAGACAGUGCCCCCGGCACACUCUGCUCCCGGCUCACCCAGUCCAAGGCCAUUUGGUGGCGAAUAUCAUCAUCCAGGGCCCGGUGCGAAUAAUGAGCCAACACCUCCUAGUAGGGGAGGGGAAUGUGAACAUCAUUGAGAAGAUGCUGUUGACUGGGGCAAAGAAUAAUGGGAGAAAAACAGCUGGGUCCUAAAUAACAGAGGGAAACCAACUUUCAAUAAAG